CGUUUUGAACCAUGUGAGAGCUUUAGCGGUGUCGUCCAGGAGUAAUUGAGUGAUGGAUCUUCUGGUCUCUCUCAGUUGUUCUAGAAGUUGUGGGGUUGGUGUCGUCUUGUGUUUUUGUUCUAUCUUUCUCAACGAGUCUAGUAGUUGAGUCAGUCUCUGCGUCUCUUGUGUCUUCUUUCUUGUGGCUAGUCUUAUACAUGUUCCGCUUUAUGUGCAGCCCAUGCUUGGAGACAUGUCCUGCGUUUCGUUCGC